rnacentral:misc_RNA from 1 species
GGGGAAUGGGGGAGCUGAGUGUGCAUCAGAGUCAUCAGUUGAUGUGGGUGAGGGCGAGGCAUUUGGUGUACGACUACUGCUAUGAUGCUGCCAGGUUCGCCGUGAAGCCGCCGGAGUGUUGACGGUGAGCGAGGGAAUUUGUGGAUGGACAAUGUGUAUAAAUGGAAAUGAUAGGUGGGGGUGCACGGGUCGCGAACUACUUGUACUUUCGUUU